GCACCAUGGGAAUAGAUUCUACCCAUGAGUUCCAAGUAGAAAUAGUAUGAGUGACUCCUGGAAAGUCUCCUUAAAAAGAGAACAUGUCUUUUUCUUCCCCUUCCUCCUACCUGCUGACUGAACACCAAUGAGAUACAUGGAGUCCUGGCCAUCUUCUUGGACCAAGAGAUGAUUUCUGGCACUCUUGAAAGCAUGGAAGUGAUUAAUCAAGUCACUGAGGACAAGCAGCAGUAAAAUCAUUGUCAAACUAUGGAUAUUGGUUAAACUGUUUCACUCUCAUGUAAGUUGUGUGUGUGUGUGUGUGUGUGUGUGUGUGUGUGUGUCUGUGUGUGUGUCUGUGUGUUGAGAGCUGGUCAGUGGGAGAAUCACCAUGUUCAACAUUGUCCCUGAGAGAAGAUUAGCAGGAAUCAUUAAUUUAAAAGGUUUUUACAUUUUAUAAAAAUCCAGAAGCUAA